rnacentral:lncRNA from 1 species
CCUGUCGUAUGUAUUGGAUUUUGUUCCCAUUUUCAUGUUUCAAAACAAAUUUAAAUUUUAUUGCUUUGCUUAUUUUCUCUCUUAAUUUUCCGUUAGUAUAAAUGCAUGGUAAGCCAUAUUUGGUUCAUAUUGCCAACUGUGCGAGAGCUGUAUAGCCAUCCAAGGUUGUUAAAAACUUCCAUCAUCAUUGGUUUAUAAAUUUGUAUGUCUAUCAGUGCUCACCUAACCUUGACCUAUUUUAAUUGUUCAAUGAUUAAUGUCAAGUUUUCUUGAUACAUACAGCAAGUCUGACUGUCA